GCUUCCUUACAAGCAGAUGUUCAAAACUAUAAAGCAUACAUGAGCAAUUUGGAGUCUCAUUCAUCCAUUCUGGAGCAGAAACUGAGCAGUCUUGAUGAAGAGAUUGGUAGACUGGAGCUAGAAUGUGAGACAGUUAAACAGGAAAACACUCGACUACAGAGUGUUGUUGAUAACCAGAAGUAUUCGAUCGCUGACAUUGAGAGAAUAAAUCAUGAGAAAAAUGAAUUGCAGCAGACUAUAAAUAAAUUAACCAAAGACCUGGAAGCCGAACAACAACAAAUGUGGAAUGAGGAAUUAAAAUAUGCCAGAGGCAAAGAGGCGAUUGAAGCACAGUUAGCAGAGUACCACAAGUUGGCUAGAAAACUGAAGCUUAUCCCCAAGGGUGCUGAGAAUUCCAAAGGUUAUGACUUUGAAAUUAAGUUUAAUCCUGAGGCUGGUGCCAACUGCCUUGUCAAAUACAGGACUCAAGAGUUAGCAAAUCCAGUCUGAAUAUGUCAGGCACACCCACUCACUGCCUACAAGUUCUUUCCUGCUGUAAUGGUAGUUAAGCAUAUGCAGCAGAGGCUACUCAGCCUGCAAAGCCAGAGGUAUUGCUCCCCAGGUCCCUGUUAGGUGUCUUUUCCUGGGGAGAUGUGAAGAAGCAUCUGUUCACGCACAUGGAAAAGAUAACAACUAAAGGAUUCCAUCCAAGUCCAGCUGAAUCAAUAAGUUCAUCAGGCUUACUGGCAGAUCAAAAAUGGCCACCAGGAAAUCCCCUGGACAAGUACAGGCAUUAUACCAUGAAAAGUCCCACCUACUGGAUAACUCACAGCAACACCACUUGAGAGUCUUGGACACCUUGAGGGAGGCUAUUCUACCACAAAUUUUCCUUGUCAGCUAUGUGCCUUUUGUAUAACCUCGGGGCAGGGCACUUCUGAGGACUCAGGGCUGAACACCGUAAGCCUCCCUCCUCCAUCCAGGGGGGAAUGAAGUGAGCUGCUUCACUUAAGCCUAGAGGAGACUUACACAGUCCUUUAAUAAAAAAUUUGUUUGAUUAAAGACUGCCUACUUUUAAAAGUUCUUGCUCUGGGAUGUAUCCCAAGUAGAGAACUUGCCCAGCAUAUUCAAAGUUAUAGAUUCAGUCCCCAGCUCCCAAGAAUAAGCAGUUAAAAGAUAGUUGUAGGUUUAGAUUUAAAU
rnacentral:lncRNA from 1 species